rnacentral:miRNA from 1 species
UAUGGGAAUAUCUAGGAGGUGA